UUUGCCACGUAAGGUAAUUUUGACAGGUUCUGCAAAUUAGGAUUUGAACAUCUUUAGGGACUGUUAUUCUGUCUACCAACACCAUAUAUUGAGUACCAGCUGUGUGCUCGUCUAGGCCCUGUGCUAGGUGCUGAGACAUAGCAGAAACCAGGCCAGAUCUCUACCGUCAAGAGCUGAAUACAUUAUAAAAGUAGCAGCUAGCAUUUCUUAAGUACCUACUCCUGGGCCAAGAGCUUUGCUAAGCAGUUCCUUUGCUAUUGACCCAGUUUGAGAAGAGUAAUUGCGAGUAAAGUGACUUGCCCAAGGCACACAGUACAAACAGGACUGGAAUCCAGGUGCGUAUGAGAAGCACAGAGUGUCCUGGGCACAACAAGGGAUACAUAAUUUAGGCUUAGAGAUGGGGGUCUUCCUGGGAACAGGACUUGGACAGGAGUAAAUCAAGGGCUUCCAGCCUAAGGGUUGCCCAGGAGAAGCCAGCAGAGUUGUGGUUGUAACAUUUAUACAAACAGAUCGUUUGCAUACAACGCUGAAGUGGUUUGUUCAGACAGAUCGCCUCACUCAUUGGAAACACUCAAAAGAGCCUGGGGGCGCAGAGAGUGUAUCACCUGGCCCUAGCCCAUACUAGGGAUGCAAUAACUACUUGAAGGACCAUACCACUCCUUAGUGAUUAAGCGCAGAGAUUUGCUAGAGGUCAGCGGGUAAAGACGAGACAAAGCUAGAUUUGAACCUGGUUCUAACUCCAAAGUCUACACUAUGUCUGAGAGCCCCCUAAAAGCCCCCUAAGAACCCUGUUCUCAGCUUGGGUUUUGCUUUUCUCCACACCAUCUGAGCAGUGGUCCGCACCAUCUUGAUUAGAGGCAGUGUUGGUAACCUUUGCCUCCCCCAUGCCCAAGGCUCCCAGUUCCUCAUGCUUUCUCCACCCAAACUCAUCCAUCAAAACUUAUCAGCCCAUGUCUCACUCCCCAAGGGACCUCCUCCCUGCCAGGUAAAACUGGAGCUAAUGUCCUAAGGCCCUCUUUCUUAUGUAAUUGUUUUCAUCAGAUCUUGACACAAAUAACUAAAUUCUGCGUGUAAAUAUCCAGCGCACUUCACCCGAAGCUGAGACACCCUGUUUUAGGACGAGUCUAGUGAUUGUCUCCACCCAAUCAGAAGAAACUUGAGAGUUUUCCAGGGAGUGAUUCAUGGAGGAUGAAGGGGACUGAGCAAUCACGGUGGAGGCUUCUCUGAUCUCUUGGUAGAACUGCCCAGAGUGGAAGAGUACAAGGAAGUAAGAAGCCCAGGCUUUGGGUGUGAUUUUUGGCUGUUCUGGCUUUGUGAUCUUGAACAAACAACCUCAGCAAGCUUCAGGCUUCUCGUUCAGAUGUUGACACCAGUGUGCUGCAACCCUGAGAGAUCUCGGUAAGAAUAAACUGACGGAGAAAACACAAGCACAGCAAUAACCCUGACAAGUCAGUGUGGCCCUGGCAGGACCACAGCAGAUGUGCAAACAUCCAUGAGGAAGAAACCAGCUGAACUGGAGGAGAAACACUGAGUGGAAGGCUGAAGCUCUGUGAGCCUACUUCUCAACAUUGUAAGAGUUGCCAAAUCAAUGGGAUUGGAAGAGGUUCUUCUUUCCAAGCAAGUGUGCAAAAGUUCACCUGAUCACCUCCAUGUCUUUGCUCAGAUAGUUCCCUCUGCCUGGAAUGUUCUCCUCUCUCCUCUCCAACUUGGGAAACCCAUGCCCAUCCUUCAGUCCCCCACUCUCACAGCCCGUGCAACUGCACCACUUAUUUUAUGCUACAGUGUAGUUGAUGUGUUCCAUGCCAGUUGCUGAAGGAGGGCACCUGUCGCCUCUGUCCCUGGCAGAGUGUAGCCUGGGGUUUAAGACCUCAUAGAGUCUGCAUUGGCCAAUGGAAAUAUAAUGAGAGUCACAUUAUAGUUUUUAAUUUUCUAAUAAUGCUUAACAGUUAUUAAUUAGAUGUCACUUAAAAAGAAACAGUUGAGGGCACCUGGGGAGCUUAGUCGGUUGGGCAUCUACCUUUGCAACAGGUCAUGAUCCUGGGUCCUGGGAUUGAGUCCCACAUCAAGCUCCCUGCUCAGUGGGGAGUCUGCUUCUCCCUC